UUAAGCGACUAAGCGUACACGGUGGAUGCCCUGGCAGUCAGAGGCGAUGAAGGACGUGCUAAUCUGCGAUAAGCGUCGGUAAGGUGAUAUGAACCGUUAUAACCGGCGAUUUCCGAAUGGGGAAACCCAGUGUGAUUCGUCACACUAUCAUUAACUGAAUCCAUAGGUUAAUGAGGCGAACCGGGGGAACUGAAACAUCUAAGUACCCCGAGGAAAAGAAAUCAACCGAGAUUCCCCCAGUAGCGGCGAGCGAACGGGGAGCAGCCCAGAGCCUGAAUCAGUGUGUGUGUUAGUGGAAGCGUCUGGAAAGGCGCGCGAUACAGGGUGACAGCCCCGUACACAAAAAUGCACAUACUGUGAGCUCGAUGAGUAGGGCGGGACACGUGGUAUCCUGUCUGAAUAUGGGGGGACCAUCCUCCAAGGCUAAAUACUCCUGACUGACCGAUAGUGAACCAGUACCGUGAGGGAAAGGCGAAAAGAACCCCGGCGAGGGGAGUGAAAAAGAACCUGAAACCGUGUACGUACAAGCAGUGGGAGCACAGAGCAAUCUGUGUGACUGCGUACCUUUUGUAUAAUGGGUCAGCGACUUAUAUUCUGUAGCAAGGUUAACCGAAUAGGGGAGCCGAAGGGAAACCGAGUCUUAACUGGGCGUUAAGUUGCAGGGUAUAGACCCGAAACCCGGUGAUCUAGCCAUGGGCAGGUUGAAGGUUGGGUAACACUAACUGGAGGACCGAACCGACUAAUGUUGAAAAAUUAGCGGAUGACUUGUGGCUGGGGGUGAAAGGCCAAUCAAACCGGGAGAUAGCUGGUUCUCCCCGAAAGCUAUUUAGGUAGCGCCUCGUGAAUUCAUCUCCGGGGGUAGAGCACUGUUUCGGCAAGGGGGUCAUCCCGACUUACCAACCCGAUGCAAACUGCGAAUACCGGAGAAUGUUAUCACGGGAGACACACGGCGGGUGCUAACGUCCGUCGUGAAGAGGGAAACAACCCAGACCGCCAGCUAAGGUCCCAAAGUCAUGGUUAAGUGGGAAACGAUGUGGGAAGGCCCAGACAGCCAGGAUGUUGGCUUAGAAGCAGCCAUCAUUUAAAGAAAGCGUAAUAGCUCACUGGUCGAGUCGGCCUGCGCGGAAGAUGUAACGGGGCUAAACCAUGCACCGAAGCUGCGGCAGCGACGCUUAUGCGUUGUUGGGUAGGGGAGCGUUCUGUAAGCCUGUGAAGGUGUGCUGUGAGGCAUGCUGGAGGUAUCAGAAGUGCGAAUGCUGACAUAAGUAACGAUAAAGCGGGUGAAAAGCCCGCUCGCCGGAAGACCAAGGGUUCCUGUCCAACGUUAAUCGGGGCAGGGUGAGUCGACCCCUAAGGCGAGGCCGAAAGGCGUAGUCGAUGGGAAACAGGUUAAUAUUCCUGUACUUGGUGUUACUGCGAAGGGGGGACGGAGAAGGCUAUGUUGGCCGGGCGACGGUUGUCCCGGUUUAAGCGUGUAGGCUGGUUUUCCAGGCAAAUCCGGAAAAUCAAGGCUGAGGCGUGAUGACGAGGCACUACGGUGCUGAAGCAACAAAUGCCCUGCUUCCAGGAAAAGCCUCUAAGCAUCAGGUAACAUCAAAUCGUACCCCAAACCGACACAGGUGGUCAGGUAGAGAAUACCAAGGCGCUUGAGAGAACUCGGGUGAAGGAACUAGGCAAAAUGGUGCCGUAACUUCGGGAGAAGGCACGCUGAUAUGUAGGUGAAGUCCCUCGCGGAUGGAGCUGAAAUCAGUCGAAGAUACCAGCUGGCUGCAACUGUUUAUUAAAAACACAGCACUGUGCAAACACGAAAGUGGACGUAUACGGUGUGACGCCUGCCCGGUGCCGGAAGGUUAAUUGAUGGGGUCAGCGCAAGCGAAGCUCUUGAUCGAAGCCCCGGUAAACGGCGGCCGUAACUAUAACGGUCCUAAGGUAGCGAAAUUCCUUGUCGGGUAAGUUCCGACCUGCACGAAUGGCGUAAUGAUGGCCAGGCUGUCUCCACCCGAGACUCAGUGAAAUUGAACUCGCUGUGAAGAUGCAGUGUACCCGCGGCAAGACGGAAAGACCCCGUGAACCUUUACUAUAGCUUGACACUGAACAUUGAGCCUUGAUGUGUAG
rnacentral:rRNA from 1 species